ACAGGAUUUAAGAGAUGGACCAACUCACACCUGAGGGAAGAAAACACAACAGUGCUGGUCAAAGCGACAAUAGACUGCUUGAGCAUGGACACAAGAGCAGUUAUGGAUCCAAGCAGAUGGCUGAAGCUUCCAGUCAUGUGAUAUAAUGAGCGAAGGUUGCAGACAGAGAUCCCAGAAGGAGGAGAUGGUGAUGCAUUUUAAAUGUGUCAUGGUGGGAGAGACAAUCGACUUACUGGUCUUUGAAUUGAGAAGGAAAAACACCAAAGGCACACAGAGAAGAAAUGCUGUCUCCUUCUUCUCGUCUUCCUGUCACUACGGACAAGACUUGGCCUGCAUAUUAAGACCAGAGCUGUCCGAUACACUGGCUUUUCGGGUUCUUAUCAGUGUACCAGUGGCAGACCCUUUGCUUGUCAGUGUCAGCCUUUUUAUAUUUAAUCUGCCCUUAUGGCAGCAUCCAAGGCAGUCUGGACAUAAAUUUAUGGACUCACUGGCUCAGUUUUUGUUGUAUGUCUGACACUCCUUUGCUGGCACUUUUGCUAAUACUGUCAGUUAAACAGGGAUGAAUGAAAAUAAACUUUGAGUCUCCUGGUUAAGGAGAAUUUACUUUAAAAAUUUAUUAUUCUCAAGGCAGUUAAAUGAUUUAGAGGAGUUGAGCUGGCUUAAUUGGUUAAUUGGGCUGUUUUGAAGUGAGAUU